CCUACGGGUGGCAGCAGUGAGGAAUAUUGGUCAAUGGGCGCGAGCCUGAACCAGCCAAGUCGCGUGAAGGAUGACUGCCCUACGGGUUGUAAACUUCUUUUAUAAGGGAAUAAAUUCAGGUACGUGUAACUUUGUGUAGGUACUUUAUGAAUAAAGAUCGGCUAACUCCGUGCCAGCAGCCGCGGUAAUACGGGGGAUUCGAGCGUUUUCCGGAUUUAUUGGGGUUAAAGGGAGCGUAGAGGGGUUGUUAAGUUAGUUGUGAAAGUUUGGGGCUCAACCGUAAAAUUGCAAUUGAUACUGGCAGUCUUGAGUACAGGUGAGGUAGGCGGAAUGCGUGGUGUAGCGGUGAAAUGCAUAGAUAUCACGAAGAACUCCGAUUGCGAAGGCAGCUUACUAACCUGCCACUGACAUUGAUGCUCGAAAGUGUGGGUAUCAAACAGGAUUAGAUACCCUGGUAGUC
rnacentral:rRNA from 1 species